AUCGCCGCGAGGCGAGGUCUGAAGGAAGCGUAGAGCAAACGUGCGAGUCGAUGGACAAAAACCGGAUACAAGGCGCGAGCGUCGGACGAGCGGGCCACUUACCGCGAAGUCCAUAUCCAUCAAGGAUGCGAAGCGUAGAUCCGGCGACCUGUGCACGGAAAGUAACUGAAC
rnacentral:ncRNA from 1 species